CCAGGAGGUUCCCUGAAUCUUUCUUCCCUUUCCUCCCUGCUUUUCUUGCGUUUCCUUUUCCUGAUGUGCCCUCUCAGGCUUGGCUGGUUUUGAAUUAGUGAGUCCACACAGCUCUCAGCUGUGUGGUUCCCUGUUUGAAAAGAAAGGCCUGCAGGUGUUGUUCGGUGGGUGCGUGGGUGUCUCGAGGCUGAGACCGAGGAUGUGCUGAGGGUCAGUAAGAAGUGGGUAGAAAGAGAUCCAGAUAUCGCCGCCGGGGGAAGAAGACAGGGCUGAGCAGCCUGGAGGAGUCAACAGAGGCUGAGCCCAGAGGCAAGUGAGAGCCUGGGAGGCUGUCAGCAAAACCUUUUCCGGGAACAGGGACGAUGAAUCCAUCAGGCUUCUAGUGUUAGAGGCCUUCCCCAUACCCAGGCCAGCCUCUCUGCAUGUUUGUUCUUUUCGUGACUUGGAGGGCAGUAGUUGGAACAUUCGAGAUGGACCAGGGCGAGUUUUCUGAUCACAGAUUAUUCCAGAAGCCACAGAUUGUUCCAGAGUGGAUAGGAGCAAUUCCAUAACAUUAUGUAAGGUAUGAAUUGGUCUUAGGGUUAUUUUUCUUUCUUUUCUUUUUUAAAUUUUUUAAUGUUUAUUUUUGAGAGAGAGACAGAGCAUGAUUGAGGGAGGGGC